AGCGAACGCUGGCGGCAGGCUUAACACAUGCAAGUCGAGCGGGCACUUCGGUGUCAGCGGCAGACGGGUGAGUAACACGUGGGAACGUACCCUUUGGUUCGGAAUAACGCUGGGAAACUAGCGCUAAUACCGGAUACGCCCUUUUGGGGAAAGGCUUGCUGCCGAAGGAUCGGCCCGCGUCUGAUUAGCUAGUUGGUGGGGUAAUGGCCUACCAAGGCGAUGAUCAGUAGCUGGUCUGAGAGGAUGAUCAGCCACACUGGGACUGAGACACGGCCCAGACUCCUACGGGAGGCAGCAGUGGGGAAUAUUGGACAAUGGGCGCAAGCCUGAUCCAGCCAUGCCGCGUGAGUGAUGAAGGCCUUAGGGUUGUAAAGCUCUUUUGUCCGGGACGAUAAUGACGGUACCGGAAGAAUAAGCCCCGGCUAACUUCGUG
rnacentral:rRNA from 1 species